rnacentral:lncRNA from 14 species
CUCGUUUGCAGGCUUCAGUCUUGAGUGCCUUCUCAUUAUUCUAUUUGUCUACAUAAGCAAUGAAAUCUGCAGAAACAGCUGAACGACAGCUUAAGACAGAGGACCACACCCACGCAGACUUGGUGAAAGGUGCAUUAAUUUGAAGACCCACUUAGUCAUCGAAGGGUCUUCGCUCUUCACAGCUGCCGAUCACCCUCCGCAAAGGGUGUGUGUGUCAGUGUUGAAAGCCACAGAGACCCCAGAGAGCCACCCUGCUCAACCUCUCAGAAAGUUCUGGGCCUGAUCUCGCAGACACAGAUGACCGGAAGUGGAAUCUGCCAGCUUGUUGCUUAGCAACGAAUGAACUAGGGACGCUAAAGCUCCCAGCUCAAGAGAGAGAGGUGACUGAGCGAGCUGUCCUGCUGCGAACAACUCUGGUCUCCAGGUCCUAGGUCCAGCAGCAGCGAUCCCGGCCAGCCCUGCGUGGCCCGCAGGUCCUUGCCGCCAUGAGCAGCGAGCAGGAUAAACUAUCCACUAAAGAAAAAUCUAAGACACCAGUGAGAUUCCUACCACAGUUGGCUAUGGACAAACCAUCCAGUAAAGAAAAGGCCAAGACGCCGACAAGAGCUUUACCACAGUUAACUUUGACAGGGGUCAAGCCCCAGUGGCAGCAGACUGCUCCAUCAUUCCAUUUAAAUGUCAAACAGGAAAACCCGAUAGAACCCUAUAAUGUUAAAAAUGAGCAGUCAUAUGCUGAAUACAUGGAGCACUUUGGAAAAAAAGGCAAAUUACUGGACCAAAUUGAUGAUACCCGUUCUGCACCAUCAACUUCCAGAUCAAAGGUCAAAUCUCCACAUAAGGAGAGAGAGAAUUUCAGAAGCACCCUCGUCAACGUCAUUAUGCAGCAAGAUUCGAGUUUAGAGCCCGAUGUCACUGAUGAGAGCGGCAUUCCAAAAGCGACCACUUCUGCAAUAGAGAAAGACAUCUUGAGAUAUUACUAUUACAUCCAUCAUGGAAUCGAUACUGAUAACGUGGCCCCGAUGGAGGACUCCUGGCUGGAGCACGUGUUGCAGUUGGUUCCACAGCAUCUGAAAGUCCUGACUAACAGCAUCACGGUCUUGUCGGAUGAGAUGAGAGAGGAUUACCUUCUUAGUGUGAAGAAGUCCAUAGUUGAUUUUGUUUUAAAAGAUCCCAGAGAAAAAGAGGAUGAUACCAAGAUAACUGAACUCCCUCCACACCGCGCUGAAAUGGAAGUCUUGCCAAAGCCGUGGAGGAGGUCUUUCCUAUCUGCAUGUAGUUAUAUUAGGGACCACUUGAACGCUAUGAACCCCACUAUGCUGGCUGUGCUGGAUCUGUGGCACAGCACUUUUAAGAAAUUACGCCUAGUUGACAUAGAAGAAUUUCACAACCGUCAGGAUGCAUUAGAGCUGUCGGGAUUUCAGAACAUUGUCAUUAAACACAUGGAAUCCGCCAAGGAGACUCUGCUUAAAACGUAACGUUUCAGUAGGGAUGUUUAAGUUUAGAGAUGUGAUUGGCAAAAGGUUUCAUUUUAACAACUUCCAGAAAAUCCAUCUCAACAGUUUUUAACACAUUUCUGUCUCAGAGUUAAAUUUGUCCUUAAUUAUCUUGGUGUGUAACACGUCCAGAUGUUGUAGACAGCCACGAGUAGAAAGAAG